CACCACUGCACUGCAGCCUGGGUGACAGUGUGAGACCUUGUCUGAAAAAAAAAAAGGAAAGAAAUGACCAUUUCACUUCCUGGAGAGAGCUGCUAUGGCUUGAAUAAAAUCUAGUAGGGGCCUAAGACAGCUCCCGGGUGGGCCCAAGUCCCUGAAGUCUGGAAGUCUGGGUUUGGAGAAGCGAUGAGGGAUGGGCUGGGGAAAGCGUAAUAAUCCACCCCCACGGUUGCCCCUGACAACAGCAAACUCUAGACCGGGGUGGGAGACUGUCUCUGCUCUCAUCAGCUGUGGGCCUUGAGCCAGGGGUCCCUCUCACUCCUACAUAUACUUCCGUGCCUACAAAAUGAAGGGAUUGAACCAGAUGACCUGACACUCUUUGUUUCCUAAAACAGUUUUGGAAACCUUUCCUAAAUGCUCGUGCACUUAACUUUCUUGGUUCCUUCAGAGGUGAAUAAAUACAGUGGAUGUUUCCCUGUUUCCUUGUGGUCCUCACUACCUGAUGGUGACUUAUGAGACAAGAUGGGUCUGUUUUUAACUGCCCCUAAGUGGGGUGUGAAAUUUUCACCCACACCCACCUCUCCACAAAAACACACCUCUGAGUUCUCUACGUUUACCCCUCACUCGGGAAAUGGAAAUUGCUUUGAUUUAUCCUGAGCCCACCUUCUGAAAAAGCUGCUUUUUCCUGUUGUCUAGGAUUGGUUUGCAACCUUUCCAAGUCUUUUGCAUACUGUAUGAGUGGUGAAUCUUCGAGUUAGAGGUGGUAUUACAUACAGGAUUUCUCCAACUUACUUAGCCAGGGAACCCAAACACCCCUUGAAAAUGCCAUCUUACUAUGUAGCUAUCUCCCUUCACCUCCCAGCUGUAAUCCCAAAUAAACAUGUAACCUUCAGUA
rnacentral:lncRNA from 1 species